rnacentral:lncRNA from 1 species
UGUGAAUGAGAAAUCUCAACCUCACAAUUCAAUCCUCAUAAAACCCAAAUGAUACCCUUUAAUUCGAACUAGAUCCCAUCGCGAAACUUCCUUUUUCCGAUCUCGAUCACGAACAUUUGAUCGAAUUUCUUCUUUUUCGUAUGUUGGGUGGUGAUGUUAAUUUAUAAUUUUUUUUGUUUGUUGGGUUUUGAUAUAGAUUCUACAAAUUAGGGAUCUGAUUGGGUUAUUGCCGAUUGAGAAGUGAAUUCAAUUUUUGAAAAUUAGGUUAACAAGUAAG